rnacentral:rRNA from 1 species
GACGAACGCUGGCGGCGUGCUUAACACAUGCAAGUCGAACGGAAAGGCCCUGCUUUUGUGGGGUGCUCGAGUGGCGAACGGGUGAGUAACACGUGAGUAACCUGCCCUUGACUUUGGGAUAACUUCAGGAAACUGGGGCUAAUACCGGAUAGGAGCUCCUGCUGCAUGGUGGGGGUUGGAAAGUUUCGGCGGUUGGGGAUGGACUCGCGGCUUAUCAGCUUGUUGGUGGGGUAGUGGCUUACCAAGGCUUUGACGGGUAGCCGGCCUGAGAGGGUGACCGGCCACAUUGGGACUGAGAUACGGCCGAGACUCCUAAGGGAGGCAGAAGUGGGGAAUAUUGAACAAUGGGCGGAAGCCUGAUGCAGCAACGCCGCGUGCGGGAUGACGGCCUUCGGGUUGUAAACCGCUUUCGCCUGUGACGAAGCGUGAGUGACGGUAAUGGGUAAAGAAGCACCGGCUAACUACGUG